CUGAUGGAGAUGGUUUUAG
rnacentral:siRNA from 1 species